GGAAGGUGCAAGCGUUAAUCGGAAUUACUGGGCGUAAAGCGCGCGUAGGCGGCUGGAUAAGUCGGGUGUGAAAGCCCCGGGCUCAACCUGGGAACUGCAUUCGAUACUGUCCGGCUAGAGUGUGAUAGAGGGAGGCGGAAUUCCGCAUGUAGCGGUGAAAUGCGUAGAGAUGCGGAGGAACACCAAUGGCGAAGGCAGCCUCCUGGAUUAACACUGACGCUGAGGUGCGAAAGCGUGGGGGGAGCAAACAGGAUUAGAUACCCUGGUAGUCCACGCCCGUAAACGAUGUCAACUAGCCGUUGGGAGCAAUUUGGCUCUUGGUGGCGCAGCUAACGCGAUAAGUUGACCGCCUGGGGAGUACGGUCGCAAGAUUA
rnacentral:rRNA from 1 species